CAAUAGCGUAUACUAAAGUUGUUGCAGUUAAAAGGCUCGUAGUCGAAUGUAUGAUCUAGUUGUUGCACCUGGCCCGGUAUCAUUUUCGUCGUUGGUGCUCGUUUGAGCCCUUCGGUGUGAUGCUGAGCGCCGGAGUGCAUGGAUCAUCCUUCUGGAGCGUUCCCCGAGAGGGGGCCACUUCAGAUCUUUUACUGUGAGUAAAUCAGAGUGUUCAAAGCAGGCAUUGUUUGCUUGAAUGGUUCAGCAUGGAAUAAUAAGAUAGGACUUUGGUUCCUAUGUUGUUGGCUAUGUACUAUGAGGUGACCAAAGUAAUGAUGGAAAGGGAUAGUUGGGGGUGCUAGUAUUGGACGGUCAGCGGUGAAAUGCAUGGACCCGUUCAAGACUAACCUAUGCGAAAGCAUUCACCAAGGAUAUCUNCUUUG
rnacentral:rRNA from 1 species